AUUUCCCAGCCUUUUGCUGAGAUUAAGUGCAUCAUCUUUUCUUAUCAUUUUAAUAUAUGAUACAUUCUCAGCUGAAGAUUUUGUAUUAAAUGAAUUUGGAGGGCAUGGGAAGGAGUACCUGCU
rnacentral:snRNA from 1 species